rnacentral:rRNA from 1 species
UACGUAGGGCCCAAGCGUUAUCCGGAAUCACUGGGCGUAAAGCGUGCGUAGGCGGCGUGUUAAGUGUGAUGUUAAAUCAUGUGGCUCAACCAUAUUGAUGCAUUGCAUACUGGCAUGCUUGAGGAAGGCAGAGGCAAGUGGAAUUGGCAGUGUAGCAGUGAAAUGCGUAGAGAUUGCCAGGAACACCAAUGGCGAAGGCAGCUUGCUGGGCCUUUUCUGACGCUGAGGUACGAAAGCGUGGGGAGCGAACAGG